rnacentral:lncRNA from 1 species
UUCGUUUCCACCAUUCUUUGGUUUCUUAUUCUUGUUUGGGUUAUUGACUAUGCAUUCGACAUUUAACUCUUCUCCUUCAAGUUUGAAACCAUCUCUUCUCAUUCUCCUUCAAAAUGCAUUGAGUUCUUGUGUGUUCUUAUCUUAGAUUUAAAAUCUCUUAUUCCAUUUGGGAUUUUUAAAUCUUAUUAUUCUGUUUAGGUAAAUUUACAGAAGUUUCAGUUGGUAUUUGGCUAUUUAUAGUUAGUGGUUUCCAGCUCUUGGGUGGUUCGAUCAAUUUCAGUUCUGCAUUUCAGGGUCAGAUUUGGACGACACCUGCUUAGGUGUUUAGUUCAUAUUUUUGUGGAUUGCAAGGAGUUAGCUUCAGCUGAUCCGGUUUGGGGUUGUGAAGCUUUGACCUUUCCCUAAUAAAUAAGUUUACUUGCAUAUAGUAAUUUGAGGUUUAAGAUUUGGUUGAAUAUCAAAUGAAAUAUACUUUCUCCUUAGCAAUGAUAAUAUCGGCUAUUAAAUUUCAUAUUUUACGACAUUAAUUCUACUACAGAAAAAAUUAGAAGAACUAGAUAACUUGUUUAAUAUUUCUAGUUUUUAUAUUUGUCAUUAUGUGUUUUACUACAAUCAGUUGUAAUAUUUGUAAAUAUUUUAUAAUUUACAGUACUAUGAAGAAGAUUCUUCAAGUUGACGCUACGAUUACGACGAGAUUCAGAUUGCAAAUAGUGCGAAAUGUUUAUGAGAAGCUCAAUACAAAUUAGAAAAACAAGCUUAACGAGAGUUGCUUCGGAUCUCUCCUUAGGUUGAAGGAUAUAAGUUUGGCUUCGCAAGUUGUACAUCAAUUAUUAUUGCGAAAGAUAAAGACCAACAAAAAAAAGUUUGGUUUAAGAUAGGAGAGAAACGAGCAAGAUUUGGGUUGGAAUAUUUUGUUUUAGUUAUGGCUUAAAUGCAGGUGAUAACGUAGAUAAGACCUUAGGGGCGAAGUGUCAAAUCGUGAAAGAGUAUUUUAAGAAAAGUGGGAGAAGAUUAUGAAGGGAGAUGCUCACAAUGCAUUUGUAAGUUGCAAGAAAAGAAAGAGCGACAAGUAUAAGUUUGGAUUGAUCGUAAUCUUGGUGUAUGUACUGUGGACCAUGUAGGAAAAUACCUACAUCGAUUUAUGGUGGAUGGACCUAGUGGAUGAUCUCGACAAGUUCGAGAUGUAUCCAUGGGGAAAGCUUUCUUUUGAAUGCACGAUCAGUGUAUUCAAACAUGAAAUAGGAAAUAAAUUGAAAAUUUUGGAUGUCGAAGGUGAGUCAAAUUGUUGGUAUUUCAUUGCACGACUUUCUCCUCGCUAUAAUGGUAUGAACAAACAAUACACUUGACUUGUAUUGUUUUUUUUAUAUACCAAUUUGUGUCUUGAGAUAAUAAUGUUUGUUUUGUAAUAGAUUUGGGCAUUCGAAGCAAUUCCAACUUUGGGAAUGAAGUUCACUAUGAAAUAUCUAGAUGCAAUUCCAAGAAUGGCUAGUUGGGAAAUGCCGAAGAGGUUAGCGUCUGUUGCCAUUGAUAACGUGUUGAAUUCGAAGGAGGUAAAAUUGCCCUUUUUAAGUUGAAUGUGAACAAAUUGUGGAAUUAGCUUAGUGAAUGACUAAUGAUUUACACGAUUUAAUAUUUUCUUUCCCACCAAAUCCGAACUUAAGGAGGCCUAUUGGAAAGAGUUGAAACCGAUCGUGGAUGAAGAUGAGAGUGCUUUAUACCAUUCUGAAGGAGACGAGGUUGAGCAUGAUGUCGAGCCACAUCAUGCAUUCCACCAACACUCUUCCAGAGCAUCUUAACCACCAUCGUUUUCUACACGGUCAGAUAUAAUCACAAGCUCAUCUGUAUCACAUGCUAUUAAGCGCAACUCCUUAAAGAACCAAGUCCAGAUUCUCGUCAUUCUCCGAAUCAACUACUCCACAUGCGAGUAUAAAUAUUUGAAAAUUUGCACCCUGACAAGUUGCUAAGAGCAGAGUACAUUUCAUUCUCGAUUUCAGGAAUGUAUCAUCUACAGAUAUUACCCUCCGCAUUAAGUUGAGGAAUCUACAUAUACUUGGUCCCAAUAUCAUAAAAAAGUACUUGAAGCGUUGAUCAUCAGUAGUAUGAAUGACGUCAGCGUACCAUGAUUUUGCAUCUUCAAAACAUGAUAAUAUACUGGUAACUUUGUAUAACUCUUAUGGACUUUUUCACGGAUCAGUCCACAAGCAAAAUGUUUAGCCAUAUACGCUUUAGUAUAGCUUAUGGUUAUGCCAAACUCUCAACGAAUGUCAUUAAUGAUGUCCCUUGGUCUGUAAACUCGAUUGGCAUCUUGCUACUUAGGGGUGAUGUGUUUCCAAAUAUCAUAUAUGAAGUAUGUCUAUGGUCUCUACGACGAACGCUCAUGGAGCAAAAGUGAUGACCAUUACACUUUCGAACUUCGAAAAUAGGACUUUCUGUGAUUUUGGUUGCUCGCAAGCACUACUUACAAUUUUCAUCAAUACAAACAAUUGUAUACGUGCUCUUAUCCGACUUCUUCACUUUGUAUUCGAAGUGAAAUUUCACAACCAGCAAUUGCAUUUUUUAUAUUAAGUCAUAUUUUGAUGCAAAAAACUAGUUCACUUGCACAUCUUUAUUUUUUGGAAUUCAUACUGAUUGCCCACAAUGGAAGAACUUGUAUUUGCAGAUACAAUCCGACUACAUUCAACAUCAUUAUCAUUCGCUACAUUCCGACUAUAAGGUUCAUCCAUGGGUAACUUCACAUCAUUAUCAUCUGCAAUAGGAAAAUUAUCGUCGUUAUCAACUUUUCCAAGACUAUCUUCACUUACAUCAAAAUCAUUACAAUCGACAAAUAUUCAAUCACCAUUGUCAUGGUUAUCUUCGUCAUCAGUUUGAAC